CAGGCUUAACACAUGCAAGUCGAGGGGCAGCAUGGUCUUAGCUUGCUAAGGCCGAUGGCGACCGGCGCACGGGUGAGUAACACGUAUCCAACCUGCCGUCUACUCUUGGACAGCCUUCUGAAAGGAAGAUUAAUACAAGAUGGCGUCAUGAGUUCACAUGUUCACAUGAUUAAAGGUAUUCCGGUAGACGAUGGGGAUGCGUUCCAUUAGAUAGUAGGCGGGGUAACGGCCCACCUAGUCUUCGAUGGAUAGGGGUUCUGAGAGGAAGGUCCCCCACAUUGGAACUGAGACACGGUCCAAACUCCUACGGGAGGCAGCAGUGAGGAAUAUUGGUCAAUGGGCGCAGGCCUGAACCAGCCAAGUAGCGUGAAGGAUGACUGCCCUAUGGGUUGUAAACUUCUUUUAUAAAGGAAUAAAGUCGGGUAUGGAUACCCGUUUGCAUGUACUUUAUGAAUAAGGAUCGGCUAACUCCGUGCCAGCAGCCGCGGUAAUACGGAGGAUCCGAGCGUUAUCCGGAUUUAUUGGGUUUAAAGGGAGCGUAGAUGGAUGUUUAAGUCAGUUGUGAAAGUUUGCGGCUCAACCGUAAAAUUGCAGUUGAUACUGGAUAUCUUGAGUGCAGUUGAGGCAGGCGGAAUUCGUGGUGUAGCGGUGAAAUGCUUAGAUAUCACGAAGAACUCCGAUUGCGAAGGCAGCCUGCUAAGCUGCAACUGACAUUGAGGCUCGAAAGUGUGGGUAUCAAACAGGAUUAGAUACCCUGGUAGUCCACACGGUAAACGAUGAAUACUCGCUGUUUGCGAUAUACGGCAAGCGGCCAAGCGAAAGCGUUAAGUAUUCCACCUGGGGAGUACGCCGGCAACGGUGAAACUCAAAGGAAUUGACGGGGGCCCGCACAAGCGGAGGAACAUGUGGUUUAAUUCGAUGAUACGCGAGGAACCUUACCCGGGCUUAAAUUGCAGAUGAAUUACGGUGAAAGCCGUAAGCCGCAAGGCAUCUGUGAAGGUGCUGCAUGGUUGUCGUCAGCUCGUGCCGUGAGGUGUCGGCUUAAGUGCCAUAACGAGCGCAACCCUUGUUGUCAGUUACUAACAGGUUCCGCUGAGGACUCUGACAAGACUGCCAUCGUAAGAUGUGAGGAAGGUGGGGAUGACGUCAAAUCAGCACGGCCCUUACGUCCGGGGCUACACACGUGUUACAAUGGGGGGUACAGAGGGCCGCUACCACGCGAGUGGAUGCCAAUCCCAAAAACCUCUCUCAGUUCGGACUGGAGUCUGCAACCCGACUCCACGAAGCUGGAUUCGCUAGUAAUCGCGCAUCAGCCACGGCGCGGUGAAUACGUUCCCGGGCCUUGUACACACCGCCCGUCAAGCCAUGGGAGCCGGGGGUACCUGAAGUGCGUAACCGCGAGGAGCGCCCUAGGGUAAAACUGGUGACUGGGG
rnacentral:rRNA from 1 species